UACAGAGGGUGCGAGCGUUAAUCGGAAUUACUGGGCGUAAAGCGUGCGUAGACGGUUAUUUAAGUCGGAUGUGAAAGCCCCGGGCUCAACCUGGGAAUUGCAUUCGAGACUGAAUAGCUAGGGUGCGGUAGAGGGAAGCGGAAUUUCCGGUGUAGCGGUGAAAUUCGUAGAUAUCGGGAGGAACACCAGCGGCGAAGGCGGCGAUCUGGGGCGAUACUGACGCUGAGGUGCGAAAGCGUGGGGAGCAAACAGG
rnacentral:rRNA from 1 species